AGCGGCGGACGGGUGAGUAACACGUGGGCAACCUGCCUGUAAGACUGGGAUAACUCCGGGAAACCGGAGCUAAUACCGGAUACUAUGUCAAACCGCAUGGUUUGACAUUCAAAGACGGUUUCGGCUGUCACUUACAGAUGGGCCCGCGGCGCAUUAGCUAGUUGGUGAGGUAAUGGCUCACCAAGGCGACGAUGCGUAGCCGACCUGAGAGGGUGAUCGGCCACACUGGGACUGAGACACGGCCCAGACUCCUACGGGAGGCAGCAGUAGGGAAUCUUCCGCAAUGGACGAAAGUCUGACGGAGCAACGCCGCGUGAGUGAUGAAGGUUUUCGGAUCGUAAAACUCUGUUGUCAGGGAAGAACAAGUGCCGGAGUAACUGCCGGCACCUUGACGGUACCUGACCAGAAAGCCACGGCUAACUACGUGCCAGCAGCCGCGGUAAUACGUAGGUGGCAAGCGU
rnacentral:rRNA from 2 species